UGGGGAAUAUUGGACAAUGGGCGAAAGCCUGAUCCAGCCAUGCCGCGUGUGUGAAGAAGGCCUUCGGGUCGUAAAGCACUUUAAGUUGGGAGGAAGGGCUCAUAGCGAAUACCUGUGAGUUUUGACGUUACCAACAGAAUAAGCACCGGCUAACUUCGUGCCAGCAGCCGCGGUAAUACGAAGGGUGCAAGCGUUAAUCGGAAUUACUGGGCGUAAAGCGUGCGCAGGCGGUUAUAUAAGACAGAUGUGAAAUCCCCGGGCUCAACCUGGGAACUGCAUUUGUGACUGUAUAGCUAGAGUACGGCAGAGGGGGAUGGAAUUCCGCGUGUAGCAGUGAAAUGCGUAGAUAUGCGGAGGAACACCGAUGGCGAAGGCAAUCCCCUGGGCCUGUACUGACGCUCAUGCACGAAAGCGUGGGGAGCAAACAGGAUUAGAUACCCUGGUA
rnacentral:rRNA from 1 species